GAUGAAGAACGUAGCGAAAUGCGAUAAGUAAUGCGAAUUGCAGAAUUCCAGUGAGUCAUCGAAUCUUUGAACGCACAUUGCGCCCUUUGGUAUUCCGAAGGGCAUGCCUGUUCGAGCGUCAUUAUCACCCCUCAAGCCCUCGGCUUGGUGUUGGACGGUUUGGUGGAGGCCCCCUCGGGGGCUCCUGCCCCUCCCAAAGACAAUGACGGCGGCGUCGUUGGGACCCCCGGUACACUGAGCUUCUUAACUGAGCACGUACUGGACGCGGGUACGCGACGCACGGUCUGCCUCCCCUUUAAGGGAGAACUUUUUCUUAAGGUUGACCUCGGAUCAGGUAGGAAUACCCGCUGAACUUAAGCAUAUCAAUAAGCGGAGGA
rnacentral:misc_RNA from 1 species